CUGAGAGUUCCCUGCACAGGUGAGGAAAGAUUAAACCAACUCAGAAUCUCAGGUGAUGCAGUGUGAGGUUCAGCACAGACCAGAAAAAGAGCAGGGAAAGCAGCCAAAAGAGAAAGUGGGUAAAUGUAUUUCCUGUCAGGAAACUCAGAAGGACUUCAAGGAAACCACAACCCAACAGAAAAUCCUGAGCGGAAAGAGAAAAAAUACAUUUUUUCCACACUCAGUGUAUGUAUGUGAUUACUCCAUCCUUAUAAAGCCUCAGAGAAUCCACACAGGGGAGAGG